GCAGAACGCGAAGAACCUUACCUGGCCUUGACAUCCUAGGAAUCCCGAAGAGAUUUGGGAGUGCCGCAAGGAACCUAGAGACAGGUGCUGCAUGGCUGUCGUCAGCUCGUGUCGUGAGAUGUUGGGUUAAGUCCCGCAACGGGCGCAACCCUUGUCAUUAGUUGCUACGAAAGGGCACUCUAAUGAGACUGCCGGUGACAAACCGGAGGAAGGUGGGGAUGGACGUCAAGUCCUCAUGGCCCUUAUAGGUGGGGCUACGACACGUCAUACAAUGGCCGGUACAAAGGGCAGCCAACCCGCGAGGGGGAGCGUAAUCCCAUAAAGCCGGUCGUAGUCCGGAUCGCAGUCUGCAACUCGACUGCGUGAAGUCGGAAUCGCUAGUAUCGUGGAUCAGCAUGUCACGGUGAAUAC
rnacentral:rRNA from 1 species